UUCAUGAGGCGAUGAACAGCAUAUCUACUGGUUACUAAAGCGCUUGUUAUUAAGGUAUCCGAUCCAUAUUAGGACCAAAUUUUCCAACCUUGAAUAUCCAUCAUUUAAUCAUUUAAAGCAUUUAUUUACGAGUAGAAAAAGAUUAACCGAGAGAAAUUUUCAAAAAUAUUAUUUACUAAGCAGUAAUCAAUUAAUGAAGAUUGCAUUAAGGUCUAUGGAGACUAUCACAUUUUUUAAAAUAAAAAUUUUACAAGGUCAUUAAUUAGGACACAUUCAAUUCUUACAUAUUGAUACUUAAAUAGGAAAAUUAUGUCAAAGUAUACUGAGUAUGAAGCCCAUCAUAUCUGUUAUUCACGCAGAUUAAUUGAAUCUGAGGCUAUUAAGGAUCGGAUACCUUAAGGGCAAAAUGUUGACAUUGUGAAUUUAAGAUGGUGAUUGACAAAGAAAUAAUGUUGUGAAUAUUGAAAAAUUCUCUCGAUCAAGCUUACAAAGAACAUUUUGGACGUCUUUCUUGCAAAGUUUCAGUACAUGUUUUCUUUUCUGUUUUAAUUGAAAUCAAUAUAUAAAUUGAUUCAAAGGUGAACGGUCAUAUUAUUGAGUGUUUAGUGUAUAACUAUGAUAUAAAAAUAUUAUGUAAUUUACUUAGCAGACAAAUUCCUAGAAUGGUAAAUGUAUGUACAAAUUUGAAUGGAUGUUCUAUUAAAAUAAAAUAGUGUGUACACGU
rnacentral:misc_RNA from 1 species